GGAAUGAACUGGCAGUUGAAUAGCUGCACCUGCAUAUCACCCAUCUGGAACCCAAUUUCUAUUCCUCCGGUUUCCCACAUGGUUCCAACUCCAAUGGGAGCUCCUUCCCUAAUGGCACCUCAACCCGUGAUUUAUACCCAGCCAGGCUUAAGGAUCAGCAAGCCUUCCGCUCCAUCCACAAGAAAUAACAGACAGAAUCCAUGAAGAAGUACCAAAGCAAAAAGAUUCCAAAUCAGAGGUGAAAACAAAUGAUGAUCUCUCUACAGGCUGAUUGAA